CAGUCGCCGCGGUAAUACGAAGGGGGCUAGCGUUGCUCGGAAUUACUGGGCGUAAAGCGCACGUAGGCGGCUUGGUAAGUUAGAGGUGAAAGCCCGGAGCUCAACUCCGGAAUUGCCUUUAAGACUGCCGAGCUAGUAGGUGAGAGAGGUAAGUGGAAUUCCGAGUGUAGAGGUGAAAUUCGUAGAUAUUCGGAAGAACACCAGUGGCGAAGGCGGCUUACUGGCUCAUUCUAGACGCUGAGGUGCGAAAGCGUGGGGAGCAAACAGGAUUAGAUACCCGCGUAGUCCCUGUCUCUUAUAC
rnacentral:rRNA from 1 species